CCUACGGGCGGCAGCAGUGAGGAAUAUUGGUCAAUGGCCGGAAGGCUGAACCAGCCAUGCCGCGUGAAGGUCAGUGCCCUAUGGGCGUUAAACUUCUUUUGUGCGGGAGCAAUAAUGGUCACGUGUGGCCAGACGAGAGUACCGUACGAAUAAGCAUCGGCUGACACCGUGCCAGCAGCCGCGGUUAUACGGGGGAUGCAAGCGUUAUCCGGAUUUAUUGGGUUUAAAGGGUGCGUAGGCUGUGAGGUAAGUCAGCGGUGAAAUGCCCCCGCUCAACGGGGUGAAGUGCCAUUGAUACUGCCUGGCUGGAGUGCGGAUGCCGUGGGAGGAAUGUGUGGUGUAGCGGUGAAAUGCAUAGAUAUCACACAGAACACCGAUUGCGAAGGCAUCUCACGAAUCCGCGAUUGACGCUGAUGCACGAAAGCGUGGGUAUCAAACAGGAUUAGAUACCCUUGUAGUC
rnacentral:rRNA from 1 species